rnacentral:rRNA from 1 species
GUGUCAGCCGCCGCGGUAAUACGUAGGGGGCGAGCGUUGUCCGGAUUUAUUGGGCGUAAAGAGCUCGUAGGCGGUUCAACAAGUCGGUCGUGAAAGUUCAGGGCUCAACCCUGAAAUGUCGAUCGAUACUGUUGUGACUAGGAUACGGUAGAGGUGAGUGGAAUUCCGAGUGUAGCGGUGAAAUGCGUAGAUAUUCGGAGGAACACCAAUUGCGAAGGCAGCUCACUGGGCCGCUAUCGACGCUGAGGAGCGAAAGCUAGGGGAGCAAACAGGAUUAGAUACCCUGGUAGUCCUAGCUGUAAACGAUGGAUACUAGACGUAGGAAUUGGAUUAACGAUUUCUGUGUCGUAGCUAACGCGUUAAGUAUCCCGCCUGGGGAGUACGGUCGCAAGACUAAA